GUCACCGCAUUACAUGUUUAGCUUAUUUAAGAAACUUCGUAUGCGCAUGCUGCGAGGGGCCUGUGCUCUGUGGACUAGAUCCUCCAUUUCAUGAAAUCUACACAGUCACGUAGCGUCAAGAUGGUUUCUUUUCCCAGUUUCUUUCUUUCUUUCUUUUUUUAUAUAGUUUUCAGUUAUGACUCCUCCUAUUUAAAUUUGCUCUGUCCAAUCAGGGCAUCUGAGCCUAUUUUGGUGACAAUUUCAAACCCAUCUAAACGUCUGACAGAGGCGCACUUCUUAGCAGCUCAUCUUAAAUAUAAAUGUAUCUGUGAGGGUUCCUCAGCGGGGAUCUGAGCGUUAUUAUUAUAGCUAUUCAGUCGGAUGACGAUGUGAAAGCAUCAUCUGAGACCCGGACGAGUCAUUUUUGGAAAUGAAAGGAAACCUCGCUACGAUUCGGCAAUACCGUCGUCCUUAAGUGAAGAUCUCACAAGAUGACGCCCGAAUACAGUGGUAAGGGUGAAGCAACGCACUGGUCAAGGCGCUCCACGAGGCAGGGGCUGCCCCCAACUCGCGUGACCGGGUCCGGAGGCUCACCGUGACUCACGCCGCCGCCGCGGUCCCUCAUUCUAUACAACUCUGGAAAAAAAAUAAAUUGAGAAACCACUGCACAGUUUUCUAAAAA